GGGUCAGUAGGUUGGUCGUGCCACCGGUACGUACUGGUCUCACUGAUUCCUCCUUCCUGAAGAACCGUAAUGCCAUUAAUUUGGUGUUGCGGGGAAACAGGACUGUUACUUUGAAAAAAUUAGAGUGUUUAAAGCAAGAUAACGCUUGAAUACAUUAGCAUGGAAUAAUGAAAUAGGACGAUCGAUCCUAUUUUGUUGGUUCCUAGGAUUGACGUA
rnacentral:rRNA from 1 species